AUUGAACGCUGGCGGCAUGCCUUACACAUGCAAGUCGAACGGUAACGGGUCUUCGGAUGCUGACGAGCGGCGAACGGGUGAGUAAUGCAUCGGAACGUGCCCAGUAGUGGGGGAUAGCCCGGCGAAAGCCGGAUUAAUACCGCAUACGAUCUACGGAUGAAAGCGGGGGAUCGCAAGACCUCGUGCGGACGGAGCGGCCGAUGGGAGAUUAGGUAGUUGGUGGGAUAAAAGCUUACAAAGCCGACGAUCUGUAGCUGGUCUGAGAGGACGACCAGCCACACUGGGACUGAGACACGGCCCAGACUCCUACGGGAGGCAGCAGUGGGGAAUUUUGGACAAUGGGCGCAAGCCUGAUCCAGCCAUGCCGCGUGCAGGAUGAAGGCCUUCGGGUUGUAAACUGCUUUUGUACGGAACGAAAAAGUUCUCUCUAAUACAGGGGGCGAAUGACGGUACCGUAAGAAUAAGCACCGGCUAACUACGUGCCAGCAGCCGCCGUAAGAC
rnacentral:rRNA from 1 species